rnacentral:piRNA from 1 species
AAGGCAAAAUUUGAGAAUCUCUGCAAGC